rnacentral:tRNA from 1 species
AUUUUUUUAAUAUAUAGAGUAUAUCUGACUUCCAAUUAGAAAGCCCAGAAUUUUCCUGGAAAAAAUA